CCUACGGGAGGCUGCAGUGGGGAAUAUUGCACAAUGGGGGAAACCCUGAUGCAGCGACGCCGCGUGAGUGAAGAAGUACUUCGUUACGUUAAGCUCCAUCUGUAGGGAAGAAAAUGACGGUACCUGAGUAAGUAGCCCUGGCUAACUCCGUGCCAGCAGCCGCGGUAAUACGUAGGGGGCAAGCGUUAUCCGGAUUUACUGGGGGUAAAGGGAGCGUAGACGGUGGGUCAAGUCUGGAGUGAAAUGCUGCAGCUUAACUGCGGAACUGCUGUGGAAACUGGCGAACUAGAGUGCGGGAGGGGUAAGCGGAAUUCGUGGUGUAGCGGUGAAAUGCGUAGAUAUUAGGAGGAACACCGGUUGCGAAGGCAGCUUACUGGACCGUAACUGACGUUGAGGCUCGAAAGCGUGGGGAGCAAACAGGAUUAGAUACCCCUGUAGUC
rnacentral:rRNA from 1 species